UACGAAGGUGGCGAGCGUUGUUCGGAAUCACUGGGCUUAAAGAGCACGUAGGCGGUUGGUCAAGCAUCUUGUGAAAUCCCUCGGCUCAACCGAGGAAUGGCCAGAUGAACUGGCUGACUUGAGCUGCACAGGGGCGGCUGGAACUCUAGGUGGAGCGGUGAAAUGCGUAGAUAUCUAGAGGAACGCCAGUGGUGAAAACGGGUCGCUGGGUGCAUGCUGACGCUGAGGUGCGAAAGCGUGGGGAGCGAACGGG
rnacentral:rRNA from 1 species